UGGGGAUGAGUAUAAAUUAUUUACGUUGAAAGUAUGUUGAGUUUUGCUGCAAUGAUUGAAGUAUUAUCAGAAAGUACAAGUUCAGUUCAGUAUUCAAGUUAUUAUGUUGAAGAUUAUUGCAGCUAUGAUUUGUUAAAUUUCGAGGACGAAAUUCUUUUAAGUGGGUAGGUUUGUCACAGCCCAAAACCAUUUACUUCAUUUGCAAAUUUUAUUUGAAAAUUAUUAUAUUUUUUAGUUAUUAAAAUAUAUAUCUAUGAGUCGAGUUUGUGUUUAAUCUAGUUGCGCCCCUAGUUAGAUAUAUCACUUUAAAUUAUAAAUUAUGCCUUUAAAAAAAAUAUAGAUUUAUAUUAUCUAAUACUCUGAUUUAAGAUGGGACCACGAUUACAUUUUAUUUUACAUAUUAGACCUUAAUUAUAUUUUUAUUCUUAUUUUCUUGAUAUUGGACUAAUGAUAUAGUAAAAUCCCAUGACAUUUUUUAGUAAAUUGUGAGCAUUAAUUUCUUUCCUUUACUAAUUCCUUGAGAUAAAAAUUACGUGCCUUUCUUUUCAGCCACAUUUUUAUGUUUAUUCCUCAGCCACAUUUCUUUAAUUCUUGGGGAGCACGCAUCAUUUUAAUUUAAUAGUCUUGUGCAUCAUGAAAUUCAUUCAAUUUAAAGUUUAUCUACCAGUUUCCACCGCCUCAUUUUUAUCAUGUUUACUUCUUUCCAUUUUCUGAAAAGAUUUCAAAACCUUUCAAAACCGUAAAUUCAACCAUUGAUGUUUCCUCUCACCACAUAUCUCAUUCUGCAACUCUCAUUCAGCUGGUGCGGCGCGACUAGGACAUGGAUUUUACUUUGAAUUAUCAAAAUUAACUUUCAAGUUCAAGUUACAGGUAACUAAGGUUGGAGACGCGUAGAGGAUCGAAUGGGCGCGUCAAGUAAAUAUUUUUGGAAAAUAUAAUGUUGUAGUUACACCCAACCUUUUGUUUUGUACAGUUUUCGAAGUCUCAAACUACUCUUGAGAUUUUGGUGUAACUUAUCAAGUUUAAUGUUAUCAUAUUAGCUUCCUAGCA